rnacentral:rRNA from 1 species
AUGGCUCAGGAUGAACGCUAGCGGCAGGCUUAAUACAUGCAAGUCGUGGGGCAGCAUGAGUAGCAAUACUUGAUGGCGACCGGCAAACGGGUGAGGAACACGUACACAACCUUCCUUCAAGCGGGGAAUAGCCCAGAGAAAUUUGGAUUAAUACCCCAUAAUAUAUUUGAUAAGGCAUCUUAUUAAUAUUAAAGCUUCGGCACUUGAUGAUGGGUGUGCGGCUGAUUAGAUAGUUGGCGGGUAACGGCCCACCAAGUCUACGAUCAGUAGCUGAUGUGAGAGCAUGAUCAGCCACACGGGCACUGAGACACGGGCCCGACUCCUACGGGAGGCAGCAGUAAGGAAUAUUGGACAAUGGACGAAAGUCUGAUCCAGCCAUGCCCGCGUGAAGGAUUAAGGUCCUCUGGAUUGUAAACUUCUUUUAUAUGGGACGAAAAAAGGGCAUUCUUGUUCACUUGACGGUACCAUAUGAAUAAGCACCGGCUAACUCCGUG